UACGUAGGGGCGAGCGUUGUCCGGAGUUACUGGGCGUAAAGGGCAUGCAGGCGGUCGGACGCGUUUCGGGUGACAGCGGGUGGCUUAACUACCCGAGUGGUCGAAAGACGGUUUGACUUGAGGACGCGAGAGGGACACGGAAUUCCGGGUGGAGUGGUGAAAUGCGUAGAGAUCCGGAGGAACACCGAAGGCGAAGGCAGUGUCCUGGCGCGUAACUGACGCUGAGGUGCGAAAGCCAGGGGAGCGGAACGGG
rnacentral:rRNA from 1 species